rnacentral:rRNA from 1 species
UACAGAGACCUCAAGCGUUAUCCGGAGUUAUUGGGCGUAAAGCGUCUGUAGGCGGCUUUACAAGUCGUGCGUUAAAUUUCUGGGCUCAACCCAGAAACUGCGUGCGAUACUGUACAAGCUAGAGGCUGGGAGAGGUGCAUGGAAUUACGGGUGUAGCGGUAAAAUGCGUUAAUAUCCGUAAGAACACCAAAGGCGAAGGCAGUGCACUGGAACAGUCCUGACGCUCAGAGACGAAAGCGUGGGGAGCGAAUGAG